ACUUUGGUGGCGACCGGCGCACGGGUGCGUAACGCGUAUGUAACCUACCUAUAACAGGGGCAUAACACUGAGAAAUUGGUACUAAUUCCCCAUAAUAUUCGGAGAGGCAUCUCUCCGGGUUGAAAACUCCGGUGGUUAUAGAUGGACAUGCGUUGUAUUAGCUAGUUGGUGAGGUAACGGCUCACCAAGGCAACGAUACAUAGGGGGACUGAGAGGUUAACCCCCCACACUGGUACUGAGACACGGACCAGACUCCUACGGGAGGCAGCAGUGAGGAAUAUUGGUCAAUGGACGCAAGUCUGAACCAGCCAUGCCGCGUGCAGGAAGACGGCUCUAUGAGUUGUAAACUGCUUUUGUACGAGGGUAAACUCACCUACGUGUAGGCGACUGAAAGUAUCGUACGAAUAAGGAUCGGCUAACUCCGUGCCAGCAGCCGCGGUAAUACGGAGGAUUCAAGCGUUAUCCGGAUUUAUUGGGUUUAAAGGGUGCGUAGGCGGUUUGAUAAGUUAGAGGUGAAAUCCCGGGGCUUAACUCCGGAACUGCCUCUAAUACUGUUAGACUAGAGAGUAGUUGCGGUAGGCGGAAUGUAUGGUGUAGCGGUGAAAUGCUUAGAGAUCAUACAGAACA
rnacentral:rRNA from 1 species